rnacentral:rRNA from 1 species
AUUGAACGCUGGCGGCAUGCCUUACACAUGCAAGUCGAACGGCAGCACGGGUGCUUGCACCUGGUGGCGAGUGGCGAACGGGUGAGUAAUACAUCGGAACGUACCUUAUCGUGGGGGAUAACGCAGCGAAAGCUGUGCUAAUACCGCAUACGCCCUGAGGGGGAAAGCGGGGGAUCGCAAGACCUCGCGCGAUUAGAGCGGCCGAUGCCUGAUUAGCUAGUUGGGGGGGUAAAAGCCCACCAAGGCGACGAUCAGUAGCUGGUCUGAGAGGACGAUCAGCCACACUGGGACUGAGACACGGCCCAGACCCCUACGGGAGGCAGCAGUGGGGAAUUUUGGACAAUGGGGGCAACCCUGAUCCAGCAAUGCCGCGUGAGUGAAGAAGGCCUUCGGGUUGUAAAGCUCUUUUGUCAGGGAAGAAACACCGGCUCUAACACAGUCCGGGAAUGACGGUACCUGAAGAAUAAGCACCGGCUAACUACGUGCCAGCCGCCGCCGUAA